GGUCUCCUACGGGGCGCAGCAGUGAGGAAUAUUGGUCAAUGGGCGCGAGCCUGAACCAGCCAAGCAGCGUGAAGGAUGACUGCCCUACGGGUUGUAAACUUCUUUUAUAAAGGAAUAAAGUGAGGCACGUGUGCCUUUUUGUAUGUACUUUAUGAAUAAGGAUCGGCUAACUCCGUGCCAGCAGCCGCGGUAAUACGGAGGAUCCGAGCGUUAUCCGGAUUUAUUGGGUUUAAGGGAG
rnacentral:rRNA from 1 species